rnacentral:siRNA from 1 species
ACACGGUAAAUGCCACAACACUG